ACGGAAGGCAGCAGUGAGGAAUAUUGGUCAAUGGGCGGAAGCCUGAACCAGCCAUCUCGCGUGCAGGACUACGGCCCUACGGGUCUUAAACUGCUUUUAUGGGGGGGUAAAGUCGGGCAUUCGUGCCCGUUUGUAGGUACCCCAUGAAUAAGGAUCGGCUAACUCCGUGCCAGCAGCCGCGGUAAUACGGAGGAUCCGAGCGUUAUCCGGAUUUAUUGGGUUUAAAGGGUGCGCAGGCGGCCCGUUAAGUCAGCGGUGAAAUGUCGGGGCUCAACCCGGGCACUGCCGUUGAAACUGGGGGGCUUGAGUACGGAUGAGGUCGGCGGAAUGUGACGUGUAGCGGUGAAAUGCAUAGAUAUGUCACAGAACACCGAUUGCGAAGGCAGCCGGCCAAUCCGCAACUGACGCUCAUGCACGAAAGCGUGGGGAUCGAACAGGAUUAGAUACCCUGGUA
rnacentral:rRNA from 1 species